rnacentral:rRNA from 1 species
UUGGAGGGCAAGUCUGGUGCCAGCAGCCGCGGUAAUUCCAGCUCCAAUAGCGUAUAUUAAAGUUGUUGCAGUUAAAAAGCUCGUAGUUGAAUUUCGGGAUUAGUACGUCGGUCGUGCCUUAGGUACGUACUGGUGUUACUGGUUCCUACCUUCUGACGAACCAUCAUGUCAUUAACUUGGUGUUGCGGGGAAUCAGGACUGUUACUUUGAAAAAAUUAGAGUGUUUAAAGCAGGCAAACGCUUGAAUACAUUAGCAUGGAAUAAUGAAAUAGGACGUUUGAUCUUAUUUUGUUGGUUUCUAGGAUCGACGUAAUGAUUAAUAGGGAUAGUUGGGGGCAUUAGUAUUCAAUUGUCAGAGGUGAAAUUCUUGGAUUUAUUGAAGACUAACUACUGCGAAAGCAUUUGCCAAGGAUGUUUUCAUUAAUCAAGAACGGAAGUUAGGGGAUCGAAGACGAUCAGAUACCGUCGUAGUCUUAACCAUAAACUAUGCCGACUAGGGAUCGGAUGAUGUUAAUUUUUUAAUGACUCAUUCGGCGCCUUACGGGAAAC